AAAACAUCGCCUCUGAUUAAAAUAAGAGUCCAGCCUGCCCAGUGACAAAUGUUCAACGGCCGCGGUAUCCUAACCGUGCGAAGGUAGCGUAAUCACUUGUUCUUUAAAUGAGGACUAGUAUGAACGGCACCACGAGGGUUAUACUGUCUCCUCUCUCUAAUCAGUGAAACUAAUCUCCCCGUGAAGAAGCGAGGAUAAAAAUAUAAGACGAGAAGACCCUAUGGAGCUUUAAACUUCUUUUUUAGGCACCGGAAUACCCACCAAGUCACUGACCCCAUUACACUUACCUUCGUGCCAUGAAAAUGAUUUUUAGGUUGGGGUGACCGCGGAGCACAAAACAACCUCCACGCUGAACAGGUCUCUUAAGCCUUGAACAAAGGGCCACAACCCAAAGCACUAAAAAAUUAACACCCAUUGACCCAAUUCUAUUUGAUCAACGAACCAAGUUACCCUAGGGAUAACAGCGCANUCCAUUUCAAGAGUUCUUAUCGACAAUGGGUUUACGACUCGAUGUUGGAUCAGGGUAUCCCAGUGGUGCACCGCUACUAAUGUUCGUUUGUUC
rnacentral:rRNA from 1 species